UAGGGAAUCUUCCGCAAUGGGCGAAAGCCUGACGGAGCAACGCCGCGUGAGUGAUGAAGGUCUUCGGAUCGUAAAACUCUGUUAUUAGUGAAGAACAAAUGUGUAAGUAACUAUGCACGUCUUGACGGUACCUAAUCAGAAAGCCACGGCUAACUACGUGCCAGCAGCCGCGGUAAUACGUAGGUGGCAAGCGUUAUCCGGGAUUAUUGGGCGUAAAGCGCGCGUAGGCGGUUUUUUAAGUCUGAUGUGAAAGCCCACGGCUCAACCGUGGAGGGUCAUUGGAAACUGGAAAACUUGAGUGCAGAAGAGGAAAGUGGAAUUCCAUGUGUAGCGGUGAAAUGCGCAGAGAUAUGGAGGAACACCAGUGGCGAAGGCGACUUUCUGGUCUGUAACUGACGCUGAUGUGCGAAAGCGUGGGGAUCAAACAGG
rnacentral:rRNA from 1 species